rnacentral:rRNA from 1 species
GAUGAACGCUGGCGGCGUGCUUAACACAUGCAAGUCGAACGGUGGAAGAGAGCUUGCUCUCUGGAUCAGUGGCGAACGGGUGAGUAACACGUGAGCAAUCUGCCCCCGACUCUGGGAUAAGCGCUGGAAACGGCGUCUAAUACCGGAUACGAGCUGCGAAGGCAUCUUCAGCAGCUGGAAAGAACUUCGGUCAGGGAUGAGCUCGCGGCCUAUCAGCUAGUUGGUGAGGUAAUGGCUCACCAAGGCGUCGACGGGUAGCCGGCCUGAGAGGGUGACCGGCCACACUGGGACUGAGACACGGCCCAGACUCCUACGGGAGGCAGCAGUGGGGAAUAUUGCACAAUGGGCGCAAGCCUGAUGCAGCAACGCCGCGUGAGGGACGACGGCCUUCGGGUUGUAAACCUCUUUUAGCAGGGAAGAAGCGAAAGUGACGGUACCUGCAGAAAAAGCACCGGCUAACUACGUGCCAGCAGCCGCAGUAACAC